rnacentral:snRNA from 1 species
GUCCUACACUCUCUUCAGCAGCACAUAUACUAAAAUUGGAAUGAUACAGAGAAGAUUAGCAUGGCCCCUG